GUGCUCGCUUCAGCAGCACAUAUACUAAAAUUGGAACAAUACAGAGAUCAGCAUGGUCCCUCCUCAAGGAUGACAUGCAAAUUCCUGAAGCUGUUCCAUUAAAA